AGAGUUUGAUCCUGGCUCAGAACGAACGCUGGCGGCAGGCUUAACACAUGCAAGUCGAACGCACCUUUCGGGGUGAGUGGCAGACGGGUGAGUAACGCGUGGGAACGUGCCCUUCAGUUCGGAAUAACCCAGGGAAACUUGGGCUAAUACCGGAUACGUGCGAGAGCAGAAAGAUUUAUCGCUGAAGGAUCGGCCCGCGUCUGAUUAGCUAGUUGGUGAGGUAAUGGCUCACCAAGGCGACGAUCAGUAGCUGGUCUGAGAGGAUGAUCAGCCACAUUGGGACUGAGACACGGCCCAAACUCCUACGGGAGGCAGCAGUGGGGAAUAUUGGACAAUGGGCGCAAGCCUGAUCCAGCCAUGCCGCGUGAGUGAUGAAGGCCUUAGGGUUGUAAAGCUCUUUCGUCCGGGACGAUAAUGACGGUACCGGAAGAAGAAGCCCCGGCUACUUCGUGCCAGCAGCCGCGGUAAUACGAAGGGGGCUAGCGUUGUUCGGAAUCACUGGGCGUAAAGGGCGCGUAGGCGGCUUUGUAAGUCGGGGGUGAAAGCCUGUGGCUCAACCACAGAAUUGCCUUCGAUACUGCAUGGCUUGAGACCGGAAGAGGUUAGUGGAACUGCGAGUGUAGAGGUGAAAUUCGUAGAUAUUCGCAAGAACACCAGUGGCGAAGGCGGCUGACUGGUCCGGUUCUGNNGCUGAGGCGCGAAAGCGUGGGGAGCAAACAGGAUUAGAUACCCUAGUAGUCC
rnacentral:rRNA from 1 species